rnacentral:sRNA from 1 species
AAAUUGCGUGAAGGAUUGAAGCGACAUCCUUUUAUUUUUUUCUUUAAAAAAUAAAAGAUAUAGCGGAAAGCCUGGUUUGCU